UAGAAUGUUCUGUCUUUAUUAAUAAUGAAUAAUUACUUUAACAAUAGCGUGGAAGUUACAGUAAUGGUUCGUUAAAUCAUUUAAACAAAAUACAAAUUAUAUAUGAAGAACACAAACUAGUGUUUGUUCUGCCCUAACUUUGUAUAACAUGCAACUUUAUUUUUUCUUGUAGAGCUUCCAGGGAUAUUAGCAUCUCUCAAAGAGGCCCUGGAGUCCAUGAAACAAGGUUCAUUCAGCUCAAGCCCAAGAUCAUCUGAGCUGUGUCUUCCUGAAACCUCAGACAUGAUUUCCCUCGGUGGUUCUGAUGUCCCCAAAAGAGUCUAUGGCAGACUGAACAAGUCACGAACUUCUCUUUUUACUCACGACUUGGCCACUUUACUUUUUGCUAUUGCAUUUCACUUUGUUUGACUUAAAGGAUUAGUUCACUUAAAAAAAA